CUAAUACUCCCUCCGUCCCAAAAUUCUUGUCUUAAAAUUUGUCUAGAUAUGAAUGUAUCUAGUCACGUUUUAGUAUUUAUAUACAUCCAUUUGUAAACAAAUGUAAGACAAGAAUUUUGGGACGGAGGGAGUACUUG
rfam:Hordeum vulgare subsp. vulgare, WGS project CAJW01000000 data, contig: morex_contig_1374180